UUGAAGGGCCGCGGUAUCUUGACCGUGCGAAGGUAGCAUAAUCAUUAGUCUUUUAAUUGAAGGCUUGUAUGAAUGGUUGGACAAAAAGUAAGCUGUCUCGGUCGCAGAGUUUGAAUUUAACUUUUAAGUGAAAAGGCUUAAAUAAUCUAGGGGGACGAUAAGACCCUAUAAAGCUUUACAAUAACUUGAAUAUAUUAAAAUUUGUUAGUGUAACUUAAUAUACUUGAGAUUUGUUUCGUUGGGGCGACGAGAAUAUAAAUAAAUAACUGUUCUUUUGCUUAAAUAUACAAUAAUAAUUGGUUAAACAUUGAUCCUUUAUUAAAGAUUAAAAGAUUAAGUUACUUUAGGGAUAACAGCGUAAUCUUCUUUGAGAGUCCAGAUCGACAAGAAGGGUUGCGACCUCGAUGUUGAAUUAAGGGAUCCUUGUGGUGCAGCAGUUACAAAGGAAGGUCUGUUCGACCUUUAAAUCCUUACAUGAUUUGA
rnacentral:rRNA from 1 species